AUGAACGCUGGCGGCGUGUCUAAGGCAUGCAAGUCGAACGAUUCUUCUGUGAUUACAUCAAUGAAGAGUAGUGGCAAACGGGUGCGUAACACCUUGAUAACCUACCUCGAGGUCGUGAACAACCCCGCGAAAGCGGAGCUAAUACACGAUGGAUAAGGGGGGCCGAAAGGCAUUCCCUUGUAAAGAUUUUUCGCCUCGAGAGGGGUCUAGGCCCUAUCAGCUAGUUGGUGAGGUAAUGGCCCACCAAGGCUAUGACGGGUAGGGGGCGUGAGAGCGCGACCCCCCUCACUGGGACUGAGACACUGCCCAGACACCUACGGGUGGCUGCAGUCGAGAAUAUUCCUCAAUGCACGAAAGUGUGAAGGAGCGACGCCGCGUGCCGGAUGAAGGCCUUUGGGUCGUAAACGGCUUUUAUAGGGGACGAACAAAUGACGGUACCCUACGAAUAAGUGGUUGCUAACUCUGU
rnacentral:rRNA from 1 species